UGGUGCAUGGUUGUCGUCAGCUCGUGUCGUGAGAUGUGGGUUAAGUCCCGCAACGAGCGCAACCCCUACGUUUAGUUGCUAACAGGUGAAGCUGAGCACUCUAGACGAACUGCCGUUGACAAAACGGAGGAAGGUGGGGAUGACGUCAAAUCAUCAUGCCCCUUAUGUUCUGGGCUACACACGUGCUACAAUGGCCGGUACAGACGGAGGCGAAGCCGCGAGGCGGAGCAAAUCCGAAAAAGCCGGUCUCAGUUCGGAUUGCAGGCUGCAAUUCGCCUGCAUGAAGUCGGAAUCGCUAGUAAUCGCAGGUCAGCAUACUGCGGUGAAUACGUUCCCGGGCCUU
rnacentral:rRNA from 1 species